UGAAACUAGCCCUAUCCCUCACC
rnacentral:piRNA from 1 species